UUAAAUUGAAGAGUUUGAUCAUGGCUCAGAUUGAACGCUGGCGGCAGGCCUAACACAUGCAAGUCGAACGGUAACAGGAAUCAGCUUGCUGAUUCGCUGACGAGUGGCGGACGGGUGAGUAAUGUCUGGGAAACUGCCUGAUGGAGGGGGAUAACUACUGGAAACGGUAGCUAAUACCGCAUAACGUCGCAAGACCAAAGAGGGGGACCUUCGGGCCUCUUGCCAUCGGAUGUGCCCAGAUGGGAUUAGCUAGUAGGUGGGGUAACGGCUCACCUAGGCGACGAUCCCUAGCUGGUCUGAGAGGAUGACCAGCCACACUGGAACUGAGACACGGUCCAGACUCCUACGGGAGGCAGCAGUGGGGAAUAUUGCACAAUGGGCGCAAGCCUGAUGCAGCCAUGCCGCGUGUAUGAAGAAGGCCUUCGGGUUGUAAAGUACUUUCAGCGGGGAGGAAGGGAGUAAAGUUAAUACCUUUGCUCAUUGACGUUACCCGCAGAAGAAGCACCGGCUAACUCCGUGCCAGCAGCCGCGGUAAUACGGAGGGUGCAAGCGUUAAUCGGAAUUACUGGGCGUAAAGCGCACGCAGGCGGUUUGUUAAGUCAGAUGUGAAAUCCCCGGGCUCAACCUGGGAACUGCAUCUGAUACUGGCAAGCUUGAGUCUCGUAGAGGGGGGUAGAAUUCCAGGUGUAGCGGUGAAAUGCGUAGAGAUCUGGAGGAAUACCGGUGGCGAAGGCGGCCCCCUGGACGAAGACUGACGCUCAGGUGCGAAAGCGUGGGGAGCAAACAGGAUUAGAUACCCUGGUAGUCCACGCCGUAAACGAUGUCGACUUGGAGGUUGUGCCCUUGAGGCGUGGCUUCCGGAGCUAACGCGUUAAGUCGACCGCCUGGGGAGUACGGCCGCAAGGUUAAAACUCAAAUGAAUUGACGGGGGCCCGCACAAGCGGUGGAGCAUGUGGUUUAAUUCGAUGCAACGCGAAGAACCUUACCUGGUCUUGACAUCCACGGAAGUUUUCAGAGAUGAGAAUGUGCCUUCGGGAACCGUGAGACAGGUGCUGCAUGGCUGUCGUCAGCUCGUGUUGUGAAAUGUUGGGUUAAGUCCCGCAACGAGCGCAACCCUUAUCCUUUGUUGCCAGCGGUCCGGCCGGGAACUCAAAGGAGACUGCCAGUGAUAAACUGGAGGAAGGUGGGGAUGACGUCAAGUCAUCAUGGCCCUUACGACCAGGGCUACACACGUGCUACAAUGGCGCAUACAAAGAGAAGCGACCUCGCGAGAGCAAGCGGACCUCAUAAAGUGCGUCGUAGUCCGGAUUGGAGUCUGCAACUCGACUCCAUGAAGUCGGAAUCGCUAGUAAUCGUGGAUCAGAAUGCCACGGUGAAUACGUUCCCGGGCCUUGUACACACCGCCCGUCACACCAUGGGAGUGGGUUGCAAAAGAAGUAGGUAGCUUAACCUUCGGGAGGGCGCUUACCACUUUGUGAUUCAUGACUGGGGUGAAGUCGUAACAAGGUAACCGUAGGGGAACCUGCGGUUGGAUCACCUCCUUACCUUAAAGAAGC
rnacentral:rRNA from 3 species